UACAGAGGGGGCAAGCGUUGUUCGGAAUUACUGGGCGUAAAGGGCGCGUAGGCGGCCUGCUAAGUCGAACGUGAAAUCCCCGGGCUCAACCCGGGAACUGCGUCCGAUACUGGUUGGCUUGAAUCCGGGAGAGGGAUGCGGAAUUCCAGGUGUAGCGGUGAAAUGCGUAGAUAUCUGGAGGAACACCGGUGGCGAAGGCGGCAUCCUGGACCGGCAUUGACGCUGAGGCGCGAAAAGCCAGGGGGAGCAAACAGGG
rnacentral:rRNA from 1 species